GUGCCAGCAGCCGCGGUAAUACAGAGGUCUCAAGCGUUGUUCGGAUUCAUUGGGCGUAAAGGGUGUGUAGGUGGCGCCGUAAGUCGGGUGUGAAAUUUCGGAGCUUAACUCCGAAACUGCAUUCGAUACUGCGGUGCUUGAGGACUGGAGAGGAGACUGGAAUUCAUGGUGUAGCAGUGAAAUGCGUAGAGAUCAUGAGGAAGACCAGUGGCGAAGGCGGGUCUCUGGACAGUUCCUGACACUGAGACACGAAGGCCAGGGGAGCAAACGGGAUUAGAUACCCCAGUAGUCC
rnacentral:rRNA from 1 species